rnacentral:RNase_P_RNA from 1 species
CCAGAGGGCCGGGCGGCCGCUGCCAUAGGGGUAACCUUAUGGGGGAGGAAAGUCCGGGCUCCAGCGAGGAACGGUGCCGGGUAACGCCCGGCGUUUUUUUCUUUCGGGGAAAAUUCAGGGAUAGUGCCACAGAAAUCAUACCACCGCGCUUCGGUGCGGCAAGGGCGAAACGGUGCGGUAAGAGCGCACCGCGGCAAUGGCAACAUGGCCGGCACGGUAAACCCCACCGGGAGCAAAACCGAAUAGGGACGGCGUAUCCUUUACAGGAUGGGCAUCCUCCUGCCUAGUCGUCCGGGUUGGUUGCUAAACCGUUGCAGCAAUGCAGUGGGUAGAGGAAUGGUCGCACAUCUGCUUUUACCUUGGCGCUAUGUCUAGGUGAGGCGGAGGACAGAACCCGGCUUAUAGGCCCUCUGGCAUU